rnacentral:rRNA from 1 species
UAUCUGGUUGAUCCUGCCAGUAUUAUAUGCUGAUGUUAAAGAUUAAGCCAUGCAUGUGUAAGUAUAAAGACCAAGUAGGAUGAAACUGCGGACGGCUCAUUAUAACAGUAAUAGUUUCUUUGGUUAGUAAAGUACAAGGAUAGCUUUGUGAAUGAUAAAGAUAAUACUUGAGACGAUCCAAUUUGUAUUAGUACAAAGUGGCCAAUUUAUGUAAGUAAAUUGAGAAAUGACAUUCUAAGUGAGUUAGGAUGCCACGACAAUUGUAGAACACACAGUGUUUAACAAGUAACCAAUGAGAAUUUCUGAUCUAUCAAUCAGUUGGUAGUAUCGAGGACUACCAAGAUUAUAACGGAUAACGAGGAAUUGGGGUUCGACAUCGGAGAGGGAGCUUUACAGAUGGCUACCACUUCUAAGGAAGGCAGCAGGCGCGUAAAUUACCCACUUUCGAAUUGAAGAGGUAGUGACGACACAUAACUCUAGAGUUGAGUAAAAUCAAUUCUUGAAGGAAUGAGUAGGAGGUAAAUUCUCCUACGAAAUCAAUUGGAGGGCAAGUCUGGUGCCAGCAGCCGCGGUAAUUCCAGCUCCAAUAGUGUAUAUUAAAGUUGCUGUGAUUAAAACGCUCGUAGUUGAAUUAAAAUGUGAUUUUAUACAUUUUGAAGACUUUACAUUAAGUGAAGUUUCUAGAAAUGUUAAAUUAAAAUCAAAGAAGGAGACAAUUCAAGUAAUUGAGUUGUCAUUACUUUGAAUAAAAUAAGGUGUUUAAAGCAAAACAUUAUGUUAAUGAAUAUUCAAGCAUGGGACAAUGCUGAGGAGAUGUCAAUUAGACAUUUCGAGAGAAGGAUUAAAAGGAACAAUUGGGGUGAUUCAGAAAAUAACGGGAGAGGUGAAAAUCCAUGAUCGCUAUAAGAUGCACGAGAGCGAAAGCAUUUCACUCAACUGGGUCCAUUAAUCAAGAACGAAAGUUAGGGGAUCGAAGACGAUCAGAUACCGUCGUAGUCCUAACUAUAAACGAUGUCAACCAAGGAUUGGAUGAAAUUCAGAUGUACAAAGAUGAAGAAACAUUGUUUCUAAAUCCAAGUAUAUCAAUACUACCUUGUUCAGAACUUAAAGAGAAAUCUUGAGUUUAUGGACUUCAGGGGGAGUAUGGUCACAAGGCUGAAACUUAAAGGAAUUGACGGAAGGGCACACCAGGAGUGGAGCCUGCGGCUUAAUUUGACUCAACACGGGAAAACUUACCAAGACCGAACAGUAGAAGGAAUGACAGAUUAAGAGUUCUUUCAUGAUUUAUUGGGUAGUGGUGCAUGGCCGUUCUUAGUUGGUGGAGUGAUUUGUCAGGUUAAUUCCGGUAACGAACGAGACUGAAACCUAUUAAUUAGUUUUCUGCCUAUAAGACAGAAAUGUUCGCAAGAACAGGUGCGUAAGUACCACUUCUUAAAGGGACACAUUUCAAUUGUCCUAUUUUAAUUGUUAGUUAUCUAAUUUCGAUUAGAACUCUUUUAACGUGGGAAAAAGAAAAAGGAAGCAUUCAGCAAUAACAGGUCUGUGAUGCCCUUAGACAUCUUGGGCCGCACGCGCGCUACAAUGGAGUUACUAGAGAGCAUUUUAUCAUUUACACCUUAUUUAUUAGGCUAUGUCUAAUAGGUAGGGAUAGUAAGUGGUGUACCGAGAUUGAAAUAGUUAAGGAAAACUCAAAAGAACGUACAUGACAGGGAUAAAUGAUUGGAAUUAUUUGUUUUGAACGAGGAAUUCCUUGUAAUAUCGAGUCAUUAACUCGAGAUGAAUACGUCCCUGCCCUUUGUACACACCGCCCGUCGCUCCUACCGAUUGAAUAAAGAGGUGAAAUUCUAGGAUUCUGUCUUAUAGAUAGAAAAAUGGAUUUAAAUCUCCUUAUUUAGAGGAAGGAGAAGUCGUAACAAGGUUUCCGUAGGUGAACCUGCGGAAGGAUCAU